rnacentral:rRNA from 1 species
GAUGAACGCUGGCGGCGUGCUUAACACAUGCAAGUCGAGCGAAGCACUUACCAUUGACUCUUCGGAAGAUUUGGUAAAUGACUGAGCGGCGGACGGGUGAGUAACGCGUGGGUAACCUGCCUCAUACAGGGGAAUAACAGUUAGAAAUGGCUGMUAAUKCCGCAUAAGCGCACAGUACCGCAUGGUACGGUGUGAAAAACCGAGGUGGUAUGAGAUGGACCCGCGUCUGAUUAGGUAGUUGGUGGGGUAAUGGCCUACCAAGCCGACGAUCAGUAGCCGGCCUGAGAGGGUGAACGGCCACAUUGGGACUGAGACACGGCCCAGACUCCUACGGGAGGCAGCAGUGGGGAAUAUUGCACAAUGGGGGAAACCCUGAUGCAGCGACGCCGCGUGAAGGAAGAAGUAUCUCGGUAUGUAAACUUCUAUCAGCAGGGAAG